rnacentral:rRNA from 1 species
GAUCCUGGCUCAGAAUGAACGCUGGCGGCACGCCUAACACAUGCAAGUCGAACGAAGGCUUCGGCCUUAGUGGCGCACGGGUGCGUAACGCGUGGGAAUCUGCCCUUGGGUUCGGAAUAACAGCGAGAAAUUGCUGCUAAUACCGGAUGACGACGAAAGUCCAAAGAUUUAUCGCCUGAGGAUGAGCCCGCGUUGGAUUAGGUAGUUGGUGGGGUAAAGGCCUACCAAGCCGACGAUCCAUAG